CCUACGGGGGGCAGCAGUGGGGAAUAUUGCGCAAUGGGCGAAAGCCUGACGCAGCGACGCCGCGUGAGGGAUGAAGGUCUUCGGAUCGUAAACCUCUGUCAGCAGGGAAGAACGGUCACUGUGCUAAUCAGCAGUGAAUUGAUGGUACCUGCAAAGGAAGCACCGGCUAACUCCGUGCCAGCAGCCGCGGUAAUACGGAGGGUGCGAGCGUUAAUCGGAAUUACUGGGCGUAAAGCGCUCGUAGGCGGUAUGUCAAGUCAAGGGUGAAAUCCCCGCGCUCAACGUGGGAACUGCCUUUGAAACGGGCAAACUGGAGUGUGUGAGAGGAUAGUGGAAUUCCAGGUGUAGGAGUGAAAGCCGUAGAUAUCUGGAGGAAAAUCAGUGGCGAAGGCGACUAUCUGGCACAUAACUGACGCUGAGGAGCGAAAGCGUGGGUAGCAAACAGGAUUAGAUACCCGAGUAGUC
rnacentral:rRNA from 1 species